GUGCAAAGGUAGCAUAAUCAUUUGCUUUUUAAUUGAAGGCUAGUAUGAAAGGACACACAAGGAAUAAAACUGUCUCUCUUAAAUUAAAUAUAAACUGAUAAUUAGGUGAAGAAGCCUAAAUUAUAAUAAAGGACAAAAAGACCCUAUAGAGCUUUACUGGCUAGAGUAUUGUACUCAAUAUCAGGUUGGUUGGGACAACCAAAAGACAUUAUCACCUCUUUUUAAAAUUAUAAAAUACUUACCCAAUAAUGUAUAAAAAAUAGCUACCUUAGGGAUAACAGGCUAAUCCCACUAGAGAGAUCACAUUGACAGUGGGGGUUGGCACCUCGAUGUUGGCUUAGUGUAACUAUUAGGCGCAGUCGCCUAAUAAGUUGGUUUGUUCAACCAUUAAAUCACUACGUGAUC
rnacentral:rRNA from 1 species